GCCAGUCUUAAAAGGUUCUAUACCAUGAUUCCAUUUAUGUAACAGUAUUGAAGGAACAACAUUAUGGUGAUGAAGAAGGGAUUAGAGGUUGCUGGGAUUAGGAGGGUGUUACUAUAAAAAGUAAGGAGGAGUUUUUCAGGGGCGAUGGAAGUUUUGCCUCCUCAUUGUAGCAGUGGUUACCUGAAUUGAUGUGUGUCAUACAAUUUCAUAGAACUUGUGUUGUGGGGGGCAGGAAACCACUCUCAGACCCAGUGAUUGGCUAGAAAGACUCAGGACUCAGAAACUGUUGAGCUCAGAGGGAGAGGGUGACCAGUCUCUGCAGUUGCAGCCCUGGGGCUGUUCUAAUCUGUAUCUUUUCCUGGUAAUAGACAUGGCUGUGAGCAUGACAGGUGUCAGUGAGCUCUGUGUGCCUCAUCAACGAAUCAU
rnacentral:lncRNA from 10 species